rnacentral:rRNA from 1 species
UUCCGGUUGAUCCUGCCGGACCUGACUGCUAUCGGAUUGAUACUAAGCCAUGCGAGUCUUUGCAGUAAUGCAAGGCAUACGGCUCAGUAACACGUAGUCAACUUACCCUAUGGACGAGGAUAAUCUCGGGAAACUGAGCAUAAUACUCGAUAGAUCAUAAUGCCUGGAAUGGUUUAUGGUUGAAAUGAUUCGUCGCCAUAGGAUGGGACUGCGGCCUAUCAGCUUGUUGGUGAGGUAAUGGCCCACCAAGGCGAUUACAGGUACGGGCUCUGAGAGGAGAAGCCCGGAGAUGGGUACUGAGACACGGACCCAGGCCCUAUGGGGCGCAGCAGGCGAGAAAACUUUGCAAUGUGCGAAAGCACGACAAGGUUAAUCCGAGUGAUUUCUGCUAAAGAAAUCUUUUGCAAGUCAUAAAACCACUAGUGAAUAAGGGGUGGGCAAGUUCUGGUGUCAGCCGCCGCGGUAAAACCAGCACCUCAAGUGGUCAGGAGGAUUAUUGGGCCUAAAGCAUCCGUAGCCUGCUCUGUAAGUUUUCGGUUAAAUCUAUAUGCUCAACGUAUAGGCUGCCGAAAAUACUGCAGUGCUAGGAAGUGGGAGAGGUAGACGGUACUUGAUAGGAAGGGGUAAAAUCCUUUGAUCUAUCGAUGACCACCUGUGGCGAAGGCGGUCUACCAGAACACGUUCGACGGUGAGGGAUGAAAGCUGGGGGAGCAAACCGGAUUAGAUACCCGGGUAGUCCCAGCUGUAAACGAUGCAGACUCGAUGAUGCAUUGGCAUAUAGCCAGUGCAGUGUCGCAGGGAAGCCGUUAAGUCUGCCGCCUGGGAAGUACGUACGCAAGUAUGAAACUUAAAGGAAUUGGCGGGGGAGCACCACAAGGGGUGAAGCCUGCGGUUCAAUUGGAUUCAACGCCGGG